rnacentral:rRNA from 1 species
AUUGAACGCUGGCGGCAGGCCUAACACAUGCCAGUCGAGCGGAUGAAGGGAGCUUGCUCCUGGAUUCAGCGGCGGACGGGUGAGUAAUGCCUAGGAAUCUGCCUGGUAGUGGGGGAUAACGUCCGGAAACGGGCGCUAAUACCGCAUACGUCCUGAGGGAGAAAGUGGGGGAUCUUCGGACCUCACGCUAUCAGAUGAGCCAGGUCGGAUUAGCUAGUUGGUGGGGUAAAGGCCUACCAAGGCGACGAUCCGUAACUGGUCUGAGAGGAUGAUCAGUCACACUGGAACUGAGACACGGUCCAGACUCCUACGGGAGGCAGCAGUGGGGAAUAUUGGACAAUGGGCGAAAGCCUGAUCCAGCCAUGCCGCGUGUGUGAAGAAGGUCUUCGGAUUGUAAAGCACUUUAAGUUGGGAGGAAGGGCAGUAAGUUAAUACCUUGCUGUUUUGACGUUACCAACAGAUUAAGCACCGGCUAACUUCGUG